CUGGGUUUGACAUACACCGGAAACCUGCAGAGAUGUAGGCCCCCUUGUGGUCGGUGUACAGGUGGUGCAUGGCUGUCGUCAGCUCGUGUCGUGAGAUGUUGGGUUAAGUCCCGCAACGAGCGCAACCCUUAUCUUAUGUUGCCAGCGCGUAAUGGCGGGGACUCGUGAGAGACUGCCGGGGUCAACUCGGAGGAAGGUGGGGACGACGUCAAGUCAUCAUGCCCCUUAUGUCCAGGGCUUCACACAUGCUACAAUGGCCGGUACAGAGGGCUGCGAUACCGUGAGGUGGAGCGAAUCCCUUAAAGCCGGUCUCAGUUCGGAUCGGGGUCUGCAACUCGACCCCGUGAAGUUGGAGUCGCUAGUAAUCGCAGAUCAGCAACGCUGCGGUGAAUA
rnacentral:rRNA from 1 species